UACGUAGGGGGCAAGCGUUGUCCGGAAUUAUUGGGCGUAAAGAGCUCGUAGGCGGUUUGUCGCGUCUGCUGUGAAAACUCGGGGCUUAACCCCGGGCCUGCAGUGGGUACGGGCAGACUAGAGUGCGGUAGGGGAGACUGGAAUUCCUGGUGUAGCGGUGAAAUGCGCAGAUAUCAGGAGGAACGCCGGUGGCGAAGGCGGGUCUCUGGGCCGUAACUGACGCUGAGACGCGAAAGCGUGGGGAGCGAACCGG
rnacentral:rRNA from 1 species